AACGAACGCUGGCGGCAUGCCUAACACAUGCAAGUCGAACGAGACCUUCGGGUCUAGUGGCGCACGGGUGCGUAACGCGUGGGAACCUGCCCUUAGGUUCGGAAUAACUCCCCGAAAGGGGUGCUAAUACCGGAUAAUGUCUUCGGACCAAAGAUUUAUCGCCUUUGGAUGGGCCCGCGUUGGAUUAGCUAGUUGGUAGGGUAAAAGCCUACCAAGGCGACGAUCCAUAGCUGGUCUGAGAGGAUGAUCAGCCACACUGGGACUGAGACGCGGCCCAGACUCCUACGGGAAGCAGCAGUGGGGAAUAUUGGACAAUGGGCGAAAGCCUGAUCCAGCAAUGCCGCGUGAGUGAUGAAGGCCUUAGGGUUGUAAAGCUCUUUUACCCGGGAUGAUAAUGACAGUACCGGGAGAAUAAGCUCCGGCUAACUCCGUG
rnacentral:rRNA from 1 species